rnacentral:rRNA from 1 species
UAGAGUUUGAUCAUGGCUCAGAUUGAABGCUGGCGGCAGGCCUAACACAUGCAAGUCGAACGGUAGCACAGAGAGCUUGCUCUCGGGUGACGAGUGGCGGACGGGUGAGUAAUGUCUGGGAAACUGCCCGAUGGAGGGGGAUAACUACUGGAAACGGUAGCUAAUACCGCAUAACGUCUACGGACCAAAGUGGGGGACCUUCGGGCCUCACACCAUCGGAUGUGCCCAGAUGGGAUUAGCUAGUAGGUGGGGUAAUGGCUCACCUAGGCGACGAUCCCUAGCUGGUCUGAGAGGAUGACCAGCCACACUGGAACUGAGACACGGUCCAGACUCCUACGGGAGGCAGCAGUGGGGAAUAUUGCACAAUGGGCGCAAGCCUGAUGCAGCCAUGCCGCGUGUAUGAAGAAGGCCUUCGGGUUGUAAAGUACUUUCAGUGGGGAGGAAGGCGAUGGAGUUAAUAACUUCAUCGAUUGACGUUACCCGCAGAAGAA